CCUACGGGUGGCAGCAGUGAGGAAUAUUGGUCAAUGGGCGCGAGCCUGAACCAGCCAAGCCGCGUGAGGGAAGACGGCCCUAUGGGUUGUAAACCUCUUUUGUCGGAGAGCAAAACCCGGGACGUGUGCCGGUCUGCGUGUAUCCGAAGAAAAAGCAUCGGCUAACUCCGUGCCAGCAGCCGCGGUAAUACGGAGGAUGCGAGCGUUAUCCGGAUUUAUUGGGUUUAAAGGGUGCGCAGGCGGUACGUCAAGUCAGCGGUAAAAUUGCGGGGCUCAACCUCUUCGAGCCGUUGAAACUGGUAUACUUGAGUUGGCGAGAAGUAUGCGGAAUGCGUGGUGUAGCGGUGAAAUGCAUAGAUAUCACGCAGAACUCCGAUUGCGAAGGCAGCGUACCGGCGCUAGACUGACGCUGAUGCACGAAAGUGUGGGUAUCGAACAGGAUUAGAUACCCGAGUAGUC
rnacentral:rRNA from 1 species